AUCGUCUUAAGUUCAUCUUCAGAUGCUGUAUAGAUCAUUUCAUUGGCUACAGAAUAUCUGAACGUGAACUCAAGACGGUCUUAAAUAUAAGAUCCGACUAUGAAUAUAGCUCAUAGACUUUGAGGAUAUAUUCUUAGAUAAUUGCACAAAAAAUGUAAAAACAUUUUUAAUUCUCAAUUCCACCAUUUUAAAACAUGCACAUUCAUUUCGGUUCAUCAUCAAUUUAGCAAACGGAUAAAACUUGUAUUUCUAAUUGAUAUAAGAAGAGCGGAACUGUGUACAAAGAGGAUACAGAGCAAAGUUGCUCAGUUAAGGUUUGGUCCUGGAGCUACAGUUCCUUUGUCCACUUCCAGAACACAGAGCAAAAUACGAUAAAUUACCCUUCUACAAGCACUUCAAUUCGAGAAGUACACGGCAUGCGUGGACUAAAUUCACUAGAAAAUAAUAUAAACAAUAAAGAAAAUUUAGAAAAGCAAUCGAUAGAUUCGGAGCACAUAUUUUGUUGUGAAGUACAACAUAAUGUACAACGACAGAUUCUCUUUAUUACCGAAUUUUCCUCUCACUCACUCAUGGUGGAAGAAGUAGAAAAUUUCAAUAACCUUUUGAAAGAUGAUAACGUUCGGCGACAAUUUAUUGAGAAAAUGUCACAAAUAGGCGGAGAAACUGUAGCCAAAAAUGUAAGACAUAUAAUGUCGCAAACUAUUGGCUACGAAGUUGCGCAGACAUAUACGUGGAUAGGAUAAAAACAAAGUUAUCUUUAAAAAAAUCAAAACUUUCGGAGUCAAUAAUUGGUAUUAAAUGUUAUUCAAUAUUAUCAGACAGCACCAAUGUCCAAAAGCGGGACAUAAGACGUUUUUAAGAUGUCUAAAAGACAUUUUAAAAACGUUUUAUGUCCCAGUUUCGGACAUUGUGCUGUCUGGAACUUUUUGCCAUUAUGUUCUUUGUCGUAGAACUGUACUAAUGGCUCCUGCUCACAGGACACGAUAACACACUGUCGCGCGGCGGAAGUUCGUGCGAUAGUCAAACAAUAUGCUACUUUCCGUAAUAACUUUCUAGGUCUUACGGAAAAGCGGCACGUUGAUUAGCUAUCACACGAACUUUCGCCGCGCGGCAAGCGUUGCCGCGUCCUGUAGGUAGGAGCUUAGAACAGGACGUUUACUACCUGCAAAAAUGUAGGAAGCUGAAUUUCUAAAAGAUUUUCUUUUGAAAAUUCAGUUUACCCUGGCUGCACCAGAGGGUGUUAGGACUGUUGCUCUUAAGUGACAAAGUCCGCUCUAGUGAUAUUUUUUGAAAAUAUGUUAAUGAAUGCUCGAACUGUUUCCUCUUUUGUAAAUAAAAAGAGGAAAUACCUGAGAAAUCUGUAAAUUUUUAUGGAGUUUGUUUUAUAAAAUUUUGAUAAGCAUUUUAUGAAAUUUUCUUUCUCGCUCGAUAAAUUUCAAAUAUAUCUCUAUUUCAUUUCAAAUGUAACGAUUACUAGUUUAGCUACAAAGAACAAACCUAUGUAUGUAACAUAUGUAUGUAAUGUACCGAAUGUAUAUAAUAUCAAAAUAUUAUAGGAGAAAGACCAAUUUUUCUAUAAUAUAUUCAGAUUGUUUCGGGAACUACGAGUACGUUUACAUGGCAACUUAAAGCUGGUUUAGUAUCAAUCGUAAUUUGCAAAUUUUCUAUCUAAUUGGUAUAAUUCUUGUAGAUCUAAAAAUACUUUCCAAUUAAAUGCAAAAAUUCAUUAACUACGGUUGUUAUUUAACCGGCUUUAGACUGUCGUGUAAACUUAUUCUGUUUUCUGCUAUUAAUUUAGAUGUAAAAGAUUAAUUUCAUGUCAUAAAAUAUUUGUAUAUAGACUAUGUUAUUAUCUUUGUAACUAUUAUUUUAAAGAUGCAUAAUA